rnacentral:rRNA from 1 species
GCAACCCCUGCAUUCAGUUGCCAUCGGGUAAUGCCGGGCACUCUGGAAGGACUGCCAUCGACGAAGAUGGAGGAAGGUGGGGAUGACGUCAAGUCAUCAUGGCCCUUAUGUCCAGGGCGACACACGUGCUACAAUGGCCGGCACAACGGGAAGCGAGUUCGCGAGGACAAGACGGAUCCCUUAAAGCCGGUCGCAGUUCGGAUUGAAGUCUGCAACUCGACUUCAUGAAGCUGGAAUCGCUAGUAAUCGUGGAUCAGCCAAGCCGCGGUGAAUACGUUCCCGGGCCUU